CACAAGCGGUGGAUGAUGUGGUUUAAUUCGAUGCAACGCGAAAACCUUACCUACCUUUGACAUGUACGGAAUUCGCCAGAGAUGGCUUAGUGCUCGAAAGAGAACCGUAACACAGGUGCCGCAUGGCUGUCGUCAGCUCGUGUCGUGAGAUGUUGGGUUAAGUCCCGCAACGAGCGCAACCCUUGUCAUUAGUUGCUACAUUCAGUUGGGCACUCUAAUGAGACUGCCGGUGACAAGCCGGAGGAAGGUGGGGAUGACGUCAAGUCCUCAUGGCCCUUAUAGGUGGGGCUACACACGUCAUACAAUGGCUGGUACAAAGGGUUGCCAACCCGCGAGGGGGAGCCAAUCCCAUAAAGCCAGUCGUAGUCCGGAUCGUAGUCUGCAACUCGACUACGUGAAGUCGGAAUCGCUAGUAAUCGUGGAUCAGAAUGUCACGGUGAAUACGUUCCCGGGUCUU
rnacentral:rRNA from 1 species